UGGGGAAUAUUGGACAAUGGGCGAAAGCCUGAUCCAGCCAUGCCGCGUGUGUGAAGAAGGUCUUCGGAUUGUAAAGCACUUUAAGUUGGGAGGAAGGGCAGUAAGCGAAUACCUUGCUGUUUUGAUGUUACCGACAGAAUAAGCACCGGCUAACUCUGUGCCAGCAGCCGCGGUAAUACAGAGGGUGCAAGCGUUAAUCGGAAUUACUGGGCGUAAAGCGCGCGUAGGUGGUUCGUUAAGUUGAAGGUGAAAGCCCCGGGCUCAACCUGGGAACUGCAUCCGAAACUGGCGAGCUAGAGUAGGGCAGAGGGUAGUGGAAUUUCCUGUGUAGCGGUGAAAUGCGUAGAUAUAGGAAGGAACACCAGUGGCGAAGGCGACCAACUGGGCUGAUACUGACACUGAGGUGCGAAAGCGUGGGGAGCAAACAGG
rnacentral:rRNA from 1 species